rnacentral:lncRNA from 1 species
AACAGACAAAUAUAAACUAAAAUAUCAGCAAUAUAAAAUGGAAAUGAAAGAGGGCUAUAAGCAGUAUAGUCAGAUAGAUGCAGAAAAUACAAAAUCAAAUGUUACACAUCAACAGUCUCCAAGAAACAAGAUAGAUGAAAAGUGUGUGCAACAUAAAGAAGCCAACACAGAUGACCUUACAGCUCUGGAUAGGAAAGCCCUCUUACAGCAAGGUUAUGCAGACAACCCUUGCGAUAAACAACAGAGGGCAAGAAAAUUGGAUGCAGAAAUUGUGGCUGCAGAGAAGAAGAAACAGAUUGUUGCAGAGCAAGUCAUGAUAGACCACUUAUCUAGGUGAGAAUUGGCAACUGACAAUAGAAAUCAAUUCAGAAAGUUUUCAUUAAAUUUCU